UAGGGACCACUGGCAUUUAAGGGAUGACUAGAGAACAGGAAGUAGUGGAAAUAUCAUGGAGGUCAAAGAAAGAGCAUUUCAAGAAGAAUGGAGUUAGUUACUCAGAUCUCGUCAAACCCUGGUUUAUGUUGCGCUGGAGACCAUCUCUCUCUUUGGGACAGUCUCUGGGGCCUCCUGUGGUCUCUGUAAACCUCUUUUGUGUGGUAGCUGGAGAAACAGCAAGACAGAAUAAGACAUUUAUUCCCUGGAUCUUCUUUAAUAGUUCCCUGAAUACUCUUAAUUAUGCCAAUAUGAGGAUAUCCUCCAUGGCGGCUGAGUAACUAAGACAAUGCAGUGGAAUGCAUGGCUGAGAGGAGUAAAAACCAAAACAACCAACCAAGUAAACCAGUUUAUGCAGUGAGUUGCCUCAUCAAAAUAGUGAAGCCCUAAACCACCAGAGAACACUAACUCCUGAAGAAGGGAGAGAAGAUGGGAAAUGAGUUCUGAAAGUAGAAUCACACUGACCUCUUACCACCUCUGCUUCUUCCUUUUCUUACCCUGUUGCUCCCUUGACUGGGGCACAAAGCUUUCAGCUGUUAUUUGGUUAUUUAUCAUGGAAGCCAUCAUUUCUCAUGGGAGAAUCUUUCUUUUCAAAAGGAAAAUAAAGAAGAAUAAAAUUCAGUGUCUAACACAUGGCUAUGGAGUAAUUAAUAAUAUGCAAGAUGUGUUCACAUAUAUUUUACCUUUCUCAUGUAUGAUUUCCUUCACCGGUUGCAUCUCUGGCACAUUAACUUUAGAAGUUUUUUUCUUAAGAUUAUAUUUAUUUCUUCAUGAGAGACACAGAAAGAGAGGCAGAAACACAGGCAGAGGGAGAAGUAGGCUCCUCGCAGGGAGCCAGAAGUGGACCUGAUCCCAGGACCCCAGGAUCAUGCCCUGGGCCAAAGGCAGAUGCUCAAUCACUGAGCCACCCAGGGACACCUAGAAGUAUUAUUUUUAUGGGAACCUUUGUGAUACUUGGUGGCUGAACUUCAGAAAAUUAGAUUCCCUUUAGCUGUUUUAUUUUAUAUAAAUAUGUAUCUUAUAUACAUACAAAGAGAUUUAGUAUAAGGAACUGGCCCACAUGAUUGUGGAGGCUGAGAAGUCUCAAGAUCUGUAUUCAGCAAGCUGAGGAUCCAGGAGAACUGAUGGUGUAGUUCUAGUGGGACUCAGGGGUGGAAAACCAGGAAAGCUGAUAGUAUAUAGUUCUAGAAUGAAAACUGCAAGCUUGAGGGAUGACUGGAUGGCUCAGCUCAGUAGUUGAGCAUCUGCCUUUGGCUCAGGGCAUGAUUCUGGGAUCCAUGAUCAAG